rnacentral:tRNA from 1 species
UGCGGGGUAGAGCAGAGGCAGCUCGUCGGGCUCAUAACCCGGAGGUCAGAGGUUCGAAUCCUCUCCCCGCUA